rnacentral:rRNA from 1 species
GGAUUAGAUACCCUGGUAGUCCACGCCGUAAACGAUGAUCACUAGAUGUUCGAUCCCGUUGGGGGUUGAGUGUCGGAGCUAACGCGUUAAGUGAUCCGCCUGGGGAGUACGGUCGCAAGACUAAAACUCAAAGAAAUUGACGGGGGUCCGCACAAGCGGUGGAACAUGUGGUUUAAUUCGACACUACGCGAGGAACCUUACCUGGGUUUGACAUAUACUCGCCAGUGAUAGAGAUAUCAUGUUCUGAGUUUACUCAGACGAGUAUACAGGUGCUGCAUGGCUGUCGUCAGCUCGUGUUG